UACGUAGGGUGCAAGCGUUGUCCGGAUUUACUGGGUUUAAAGGGUGCGUAGGCGGUUUUAUAAGUCAGUGAUGAAAUGUGGGAGCUCAACUCCUUGCCUGUUAUUGAUACUGUAGAACUUGAGAUUGGAUGAGGUGGCUGGAAUGAGUGGUGUAGCGGUGAAAUGCGUAGAGAUCACUCAGAACACCAAUUGCGAAGGCAGGUCACUGGGCCACAUCUGACGCUGAGGCACGAAAGCGUGGGUAGCAAACAGG
rnacentral:rRNA from 1 species